rnacentral:rRNA from 1 species
CAGCAGCCACGGUAAUACGAAGGGGGCUAGCGUUGCUCGGAAUGACUGGGCGUAAAGGGCGCGUAGGCGGCGAUCAAAGUCAGGCGUGAAAUUCCUGGGCUCAACCUGGGGGCUGCGCUUGAUACUUGGUUGCUUGAGUGGGGAAGAGGGUCGUGGAAUUCCCAGUGUAGAGGUGAAAUUCGUAGAUAUUGGGAAGAACACCGGUGGCGAAGGCGGCGACCUGGUCCUUGACUGACGCUGAGGCGCGAAAGCGUGGGGAGCAAACAGGAUUAGAUACCCCCGUAGUCCCUGUCUCUUAUAC